AUACGGAAGGUCCGGGCGUUAUCCGGAUUUAUUGGGUUUAAAGGGAGCGCAGGCGGAGAUGCAAGCGUGACGUCAAAUUUCGGGGCUCAACCCCGUCUCGCGUCGCGAACUGCGUCCCUUGGUUGCGGGAAGGGGAGGCGGAACUCGUGGUGUAGCGGUGAAGUGCAUAGAUAUCACGAAGAACUCCGAUCGCGAAGGCAGCCUUCCGGCCCGUCAACGACGCUCAUGCUCGAAGGUGCGGGUAUCAAACAGGAUUAGAUACCCUGGUAGUCCGCACAGUAAACGAUGGACACCCGCGGUUUGGCCUAUAUGGCUGAGCCGCCAAGCGAAAGCGUUAAGUGUCCCACCUGGGGAGUACGCCGGCAACGGUGAAACUCAAAGGAAUUGACGGGG
rnacentral:rRNA from 1 species